rnacentral:rRNA from 1 species
GAAUUGAGGUUAAAGAUUUAUCGCUGAAGGAUGAGUCUGCGUGGGAUUAGCUAGUUGGUGGGGUAACGGCUCACCAAGGCGACGAUCCCUAGCUGGUCUGAGAGGAUGGCCAGCCACACUGGAACUGAGACACGGUCCAGACUCCUACGGGAGGCAGCAGUAGGGAAUAUUGCGCAAUGGGGGAAACCCUGACGCAGCGACGCCGCGUGAGUGAUGAAGGCCUUAGGGUCGUAAAGCUCUGUUGUACGGGAAGAAACAAAUGACGGUACCGUAUAAGAAAGGACCGGCUAACUUCGUGCCAGCAGCCGCGGUAA